UCAGGAAGCCGGUGAAAAUCCGGCGCAGCCCCGCUACGGUAAAGAUGACGAAGAGGACACACGCCACUGGCUAUCGCUGGGAAGGCUCCUCCUAGGAUGAAUCUAAGUCCGGAUACUG
rfam:Dethiosulfovibrio salsuginis strain TSBA 82 genome assembly, contig: Ga0105850_117